UCUGUGCGCUCCCUCUCCUCUCAGCACUCAAUCCCGGCGAGUGCAGGCAUCACUGAAGACCUGACACCGGCGGAAUCGGACGUCCACUGUCCUCGGCAGAAUUAAUCAGGUGUUAUCUUAUGCAAACUGUAUCGCCAUCAGAUGAAGCUGACCAUCCUGCCGAUGAGAAUGAGGAACAGACUUUUUUCCGUCUCCAAACGACCGGAGAGGCGCAAGGGCGAGAAAAUAACGCCCAAAAGUUAUUGAAAUGAAUCGACCUGGCACGAGAAGAAGAAACAGAACAAGUGCUUGCAGCGUUAGCCUUCACGCAGAGGGAAGGAAGGGAAGCUGAAGAGCAAAUGAGAAAAAGACAAGAGCGAUGAAAGAGAGGUCCAGACAUGAAGGAGGCACGCAUUUACACACACACACAUGCAACGGCACCUAGAGUCUGUCUGCGGUCUACCACCACCACCCUGCCACACACAUGCACACACGCACAUGCCUUUUACGGGCAGCAGAUAAAGAGGGAGACGCCAUUCCAGCUGUGAGGAGACAGAAGAAGUCAACAUACACACUCAUACAGACACACACACACACACACACACACACACACAGCUGGAGGCGGAGGCGCGUGAGCAGGUGAGCAUUAAGUCAGGCAGCUAAACAGAUCACGUCGCGGUAUGAUAUCUGCAGACAGGCAGACAGAGGAGGCCGGUCUGUACCUGCAGGCAGAGGGAAACAACUCCCAGCACCCUCGCUAGGAAUUUUUAGUGACAAACAUAAACUGGGGUUUCCACUGAAGUGUUUUUAUGCAAGCCAAAUAGUUAAAGCCUGAUUAGAAAGAGACACAUUUGCUUAUGAAAUAAUGAGACGCCUGUAUUUCAGCCCAGAAUCUCAUGAAAAGAUUUCAAAAGAGGCUUUUGUUGGUUCUAUUUUUAUUUUUUUACCCAGAACUCUUAUACAUGUUGCCUACAGUGCAUUAAAAAACGUUUGUGUUUUUAAAGAAAUUUUAACAUUAACUAAAAUUAGCUAACAGUAAAGGAUGUUAAUGUCAUUACUUAGUACAUCACUGUCUUGAUUAUACAUUUUUUAUUUUUUUAUUGAGCUUCAGAUUUUAGAUUUCAGCUCGUAUGUAGGGAGUUUUGCAGCUACAUUAAUUUUCAUCUUUCUCUUUUUAGCAUAUAGUUUUCAUAUUCAACCCAGUUCAUUAUAAAAAAAAAAAAAAACAUUGUCUCAUAUAGACGCAAUUUGUUUUGUUUGAUCUAUGUUUUUUGCAUGCCCAAAAUUAUUGUUGUGGAUUGCUAAUAAUGUAAGGCUACACCUUGGGGAUAAAUUGAGUGUCCAAAUACGCCCCUUCCUUUGGUUGCAUUUUUAGCCCAACAUUCUCCCUUCACCUCAGUUGAUGAAAGGAUAUCCUUUGACAUUAAUAGAGAACAGCACAUUCACACGCUACUGUAAUAUCGAGUAGAGAUGGUUCUUUUGUUAUUUCGGAGUAAUUCGAUCACCUCCAGUAUGAUUUGUCAUUCUGGCAUUACUAGGGUGUUUUGACAUUGUCGGCAGUACUAAUUGUGAAACUGACAGUAUCCGUUACACAUACUUGUUCUGUUAGUUUGCUUUUGUUAGCACUUCUUGGAGCAGCUUUGACAUUUUUUCACACAUUCAUCACAUUCAUAGUAAUUAUUUUUUGGGAGAUGCCCAUUGCAGUUUUGGUUUUCUACUGAGGAGCUUCACUGAACCAGCUGUUAUAUUGUUGCUCAAGACAACCUCCACAGUAGUUACUAAAUAAGGAUGAGCUAUCAGUUCAUGUGUCCUGCACAGAUUUUCCUAAGUGGUCCUGCAAUGUACUACCCCUUAAAGCCACAAACUUGCUUCUCUUCUUUUCCAUCUUUCCUUAAAUUGAAGUUGUUUCUCCCAUUAGGCAGAUCGUCCAUGUUCUGUGAUCGCCAUUUUUUCUUAGCUGAGGUUGUUCUUGUCUUUUUCAAAGCUCUUUAUAUUUAGCCAUAAAAACACCUCCUGAAUUUUUUACAAGUCACAACUCUCCCCACAUAACUACCACAUCCACUUAUCUGAAAAUGAUUCAGUGGUUAAAUGUCAGACCUGUCUGUGCCAUUAAGGCCAGCAUGUUUGAAGGAAGGACACCCUUGCCUGCCCUCUCCCUCCUCCCCCCUCUGUCUCUUCUUAUUUCUCUCCCUUCUCCUUCCUCUCUCCCCUUAGCUCCCUCAUCAUCCACCACCACCACCCCCCCCGACCCAACCCAGGCAGGUUUGUGGGCUGAUGUGCAGACCUUGUCACUCAGAUUAGGGCCACAUUGUCAGCUCAGGGCCCUUCUCUCUCUAGAUGCGUGUCCCGAAUCUUUCUUCCUACUGUCACUCUCGUCCUGCGGCCAGAGAAGACCUUAUAAAGCAACAUUCCUUUUAAUCCACUUCUGUCAAUUCCAACAUUGUCACUCAAAUCACUGUUCGGGAGAGUGGAGAGAGGCCGAGUUUGUGGUGUCCCUCGCAGCGAGGACUGUGCUUUUUGGCCGAAGCUUGGCGUGUCAACAGCUAGCAAAUUGGAUUUUAUUUAUAUUUUGGGGCAUUUUUAGGCCUUUAUUUCCACAGGACAGAUGCAGAAAUGAAAGGGGAGAGAGAGGGGGAAUG